AAAACAUGGUGACACAGCAAAAAACGGGAGAAUUAGAAGGUUCAUUUUUUGUUUCUGAUGCCGCCCGGUUCUAAGGGACCGCAGAGGUUUCUAACAGACUGUGGGUAUGGCCUCAUCCUUCACCCAGAAGAAGAAAACCAUGGAAGGCUGCUUGGAGGAGCAGAGCUCUCGCGUAAAUGCCAUAUAUCUGGUCCAGAAGAGGAAACGUUGGUUAUUGCCUGCCAACAAAGAUUGCUUUUCAUCUGCCAUGCCAAGGAUCCCAGUGUGUUUGUGUGCACUUCUGUCACGUGCUCCGGGCUUUAUCUCAGGAUUUUUACUGAGCGAACAAAAUGGGAAAUUUUACUCCAAGGAUGUGAAAGCAAAUGAACACCCUACAGCAAAGAGGGGAAGAGGAAAGGCUGAAGCAGUCGCCAACUUAUGUGUUCCAGGGUACAGAGGGAAUUACGAAGCCCCUUAGAGCUGGAUAGAGACGUGCAUGCCAGGUCUGGCCAGCAGAGCAGGCGUAUCAGAGGAAUUUGGUGAGAUACUGUCAUGGGCUCACAGAAUCACAGAAUUGUCAGAGUUGGAAGGGACCUUCUAGAGAUCAUCCAGUCCAACUCCCCGGCCAAAGCAGGGUUGCCCAGAGCACAUCACUCAGGAGCAUCCAGGCGGGGCUUGAAGAUCUCCAGAGAAGGGGACUCCACCCCCUCCCUGGGCAGCCUCUGCCAGGGCUCUGCCACCCUCACCCCAAAGUUAUUCCUCAUAUUUUAGUGGAACUUCCCAUGUUCCAGUUUGUGCCCGUUGUCCCUCAUCCUGUCACUGGGAACCACAGAAAAGAGUCUGGCUCCAUCCUCCUUCAACCCACCCUUUAGGUACUUGGAAGCAUGAAUAAGGUCUCCCCUCAGUCUUCUUUUCUCCAGGCUAAAGAGGGGAUGUGUGGGGUGUGCAAAAUUCAGUUCUCUCUCCAACAGAUACAUGGUGAUGAUAUGGUUUUCAGUGGUGCCCAGUGACAGGACAAGAGGUAACUGGCACAAACUGCAACAUAGGAAGUUCCAUCUAAACAUGAGGAGGAACUUCUUUCCUGUGAGGGUGGCAGAGCCCUGGCAGAGGCUGCCCAGGGAGGUGGUGGAGUCUCCUUCUCUGGAGACAUUCCAAAACUACCUGGACACGUUCCUGUCCAACCUGCUCUGGGUGACCCUUCUUCAGCAGGGGUUGGACUAGAUGAUCUCCAGAGGUCCCUUCCAACCCUGACAAUUCUGCCAUAUUCUAACACUACCAGCAGAAACUUCAAUUUUCUGUGUUAAUAGCCUGGCUUUAUAUAAAUUCAAUUAGUUUUUAACAUGUCUGGGAAAGAACUGGUGGCUAUCAAUGAGAGUAUUUCCCAAAGGCGUGAUGUCCAGAUCUAGAUGAGAUCUGUGCUGAUUUGAUGAAAACUACUUGCCCAUCCUGUGCUGGAUUAAUGUCUACUGUGACUACCC
rnacentral:lncRNA from 1 species